rnacentral:lncRNA from 1 species
UGUCUGUCAGUUAUACAGAAAGAUCAAUAUACCAUAAAACAAUAUACUCCAAUAAAUUUGUUUGAUUGUGGUAAUUAGUACUAAUAAAUUACUCUCUCCGUUUCAAUUUAUAUGAAUAUAUUUUCUUUUUGGUUUGUGUCAAAAAAGAAUAAUUACUUUUCUUAUUUGAAAAUAAUUUACCUUUAUGUAAUUAUUUAUAACCAUACAAAAUGUAUGUGUCUUAUUUUACACCAUAAGUUCAAAUGUCUUUUAUCUUUUUUUAAAUUAUAUGUACAAUCAAAUGAGUUCACGUAAAUUAAAAUGGAGGAAAUAUUUCAUUUUAGUGGAAUCAUUCUGAAGACAGAGGGUCAAAUAAAUUAAAAAACAAUUCAUUCAUUUUCUUUUGUUGCUCUCACAAAAUUCAUGUAAUCUCCGUAACCUUUUAGAGGGUGCAUUUUUCAUGUGAAUGUCCUAACCAUUUUCAAUUUUUUUAGACACUUUAAUGAGUAUUUUAAGAAGUAUAUUAAAUUGGAGAAAUUGACCAAGAGAAUUACUUAAGUUAGUGAGCACCUGUCGAAUCAUAUGGAAAAUAAGUGAAAGUAUUUUGGAUUUAUUAAAAAUUGAAACAAGUAAGAAAAUAAAAUCCUAACCACUUAAAUUCAUUUUGGAGAAAGGAAAAACUGAAAAUUAGUGAAUUGAAAUUUGAAUGGACAAAAAUAGGGGAAUAGAUGAUAGAGAUAAUAGAAAUCAGCAUGUGCGGUGACAAUUUCAAAGAUUUAAGUGUCGUGCUUCGGAUUCAGCAGUCAUGCGCUGCCAAAUAAAACUACCUUUCCUCCAUGACCGAGGCACAAUUUUUCAAUCCGCGACUUUCGGCUUGAUUAUGUGACGUCAUGUCUAACAAACAUGAUGACACCAUUUUAGUUGCUAUAUCAGCACAGUAGUUGACACGUAAUCAAUGAGAGCAUCACCAUUGUUAUGACGUCAGAAUUAGAUAGGGAUGUGACAUAAGCAGACAAAGUGAUAAUGAUGGCAUUGCCCAACUUGUGCUUUUUGUCGGAUAGUACGAUUAAGAAGCGACUACUCUCAAGUCUCUUCUAAUUGCAUACUUUCUGCAAGAAAAAAGUACUCCCUCCAUUUGCUUUUACUGAUUUAGGAGAAGUUUUAUUUUGUGAGGUAUUUUCUUGUCUUAUUGAAUUAUGGAUUCUAAUAGUUUAGAGAACUUAAGGUCUAUAAAAUGACAAGAAAAAAUUUAUUUUAUAUGAUUAAUAUAAGUUGUAUAAGAUAUAAAA